CUCGCUCACACGGACUGUAGCGGCACUGUCCUCUCCUCUGUUUGCAAAGUUCCGAGUCUGAAACAGAAGAUGCUUUAUUUCAGAGCAAGAAGAGUGCUGCUUGAUGGACCAGUACGAUAACAUACAUGAAAGCACUCUGGAAACUGCAAGCCUACGUGAGAACAUGGAGGAAAGUGGUGGUGAUGGCCAGCCGCCACGACUCUUAUAAAUAAGAACAGUUAACUGAAAUAAUUAAGACCGAAGAGCGGCUCCUCCCAGCAGCUAGUCUGCUUUCACUGGUCAUCAGCAGCGCUCAGUGAGUCGGAGCUGAAGGCAGUGAGUCAGGUUUCCCAUGGGAACUAGCUGGCCAUCUGGGAUUCACAGCCUUCACGUGGGGACUAUUUUCAGCUUCUGUUUUAUGGAGUCGCUGCCAGGCUGUUGCAAUUUAACACACUACCGCAGCUCACAGGGAAUUCCUUUCUGCUACCUCCGCUCUCUAAAUUCAAGACUAUGUUUGAACGAAGAACUGAUGAUAGCUGAAUAAAAAUCCCCCUACACACCAUAAUGCCUACGCGUCUAGCUUGAGCCAGUAGAUGAGGAGUGAAUACGUGCCAGGUUCUUCUGAGGGAACUAGCGACU